AGUUGGAAUAAUGGAAAACCUGAUAGUCGUAGAUAAGAAAUGGUGACCCAAUCAGUAGAGAAAUACCAAGGGUCAUUUUGACUAGCCAAGGAUCGUUAACUGCAGAAUCUGGCUGAACACCAACAGAGGCUAUAAAGACGCCUUAUGGUGACCAGAAGUAAACUCCACCUGUGUAGUUGCUAUAGAUUGAUUGUCUAGCACAGCUGCAUUGGAAAAUGGACAGUCGGGAUUUGUCUGGGAGUGGCUGAGGAAUCUGCAUACAAAUGAUCCUGGACCUGAGAGGUGAAAGGAAAGUACUGGACAGCAAUAGAAGAGCCCAGAGAGAGGCAGGAGGAAGAGGAUCACAGGGCCAUCAGCUGCAGGACUUCAUCCAGUAUGAGCUGCAGUGAAAUUAGCCACAAGUAGGUGGACUUUGAGGUUGCUGACAACACAUUUUUGAGGCAUAGGACUAGUUGUUCGUGACUCUAAAAGCGUGAACUUUUUCUGUAUGGGGCAAUCUCCACAGGUGCUUGUUAUGCUUCUGGAAGCUUGUUUUGCGCUAUGCAAAACAGAUAUCUAUACCUGCCUUUGGAAAAAUGUUCUCAAAAAAUAUUGUCUCUUGCAAACAGGGCCAUUGUAAUCUAGUUUUGAGACUCUAAGAGGGUUCCUGGUCCACCCAACACUGUACUACAUUCUGAACUCUGAGGUCAUUAAAUAAAAUAUGUAUUAUCCA